rnacentral:rRNA from 1 species
CCUACGGGAGGCAGCAGUGGGGGAUAUUGCACAAUGGGGGGAACCCUGAUGCAGCGACGCCGCGUGGGGGAAGGAGUGCUUCGGCAUGUAAAGCCCUAUCGGCAGGGAAGAAGCAAGACGGUACCUGACUAAGAAGCCCCGGCUAACUACGUGCCAGCAGCCGCGGUAAGACGUAGGGGGCGAGCGUUAUCCGGAUUCACUGGGUGUAAAGGGAGCGUAGAUGGCCAGGCAAGCCAGGGGUGAAAGCCCGGGGCCCAACCCCGGGACUGCCCUUGGAACUGUGCGGCGAGAGUGCGGGGGGGGCAGGCGGAAUUCCUGGUGUAGCGGUGAAAUGCGUAGAUAUCAGGAGGAACACCGGCGGCGAAGGCGGCCUGCUGGACCGCGACUGACGUUGAGGCUCGAAAGCGUGGGGAGCGAACAGGAUUAGAUACCCGGGUAGUC